rnacentral:rRNA from 1 species
UACGGAGGGAGCUAGCGUUGUUCGGAAUUACUGGGCGUAAAGCGCACGUAGGCGGCUUUUUAAGUCAGGGGUGAAAUCCCGGGGCUCAACCCCGGAACUGCCCUUGAAACUGGAGAGCUAGAAUCUUGGAGAGGCGAGUGGACUUCCGAGUGUAGAGGUGAAAUUCGUAGAUAUUCGGAAGAACACCAGUGGCGAAGGCGACUCGCUGGACAAGUAUUGACGCUGAGGUGCGAAAGCGUGGGGAGCAAACAGG